rnacentral:rRNA from 1 species
UACGUAUGGUGCUAGCGUUGUUCGGAAUCACUGGGCGUAAAGAGCACGCAGGCGGAUUGUUAAGUCGGAUGUGAAAACUAUGGGCUCAACCCAUAGCCUGCAUUCGAAACUGGCAAUCUGGAGUCUCGGAGAGGUAAGCGGAAUUCCCGGUGUAGCGGUGAAAUGCGCAGAUAUCGGGAGGAACACCCGUAGCGAAGGCGGCACACUGGGCCGGAACUGACGCUGAGGAGCGAAAGCGUGGGGAGCAAACAGG